UUUAUUUUAGAGUGAAUAAAUAAUCAUCGCAUCUUCUUUGGAUAUUCAAUCUUUAUUGAGCAGGGAUUGAACAUGGAGGUCUACACAUCAACUGCAUGUGUGACAAUCUUGUGCAUUAUUGCCACAUUCUCUGCACAAGGAAUUGCUGACACUGGAAGCCAGUAAGUGACCUUACACAGACCAUUAAUAAGAGAGCCUCUGAACAUAGUUUUAGAGAGAUUUUUUUAUUAUUAUUUAUUUAUUUUACAUUUAUU